UCAAACCAUUCCCUUGUCCUGUCACCAUCCAUCCUUGUAAACAUUCACGCAGUGCAGCAAGCCCUGCUCACAUCCAACCCAUCCUCACUUUAGGGGCACUAUCUACCUCACCUCUGCCCAAGCGAAGCUUGGGGCUGGGGCUUUCCUCCAUGACGAGAAGAAGGAGAAAAUCAUAGAAUCAUAGAAUGGCUGAAGUUAGAGGGGAUGUUAAAACCCUCCCAUCCCUCUGAUGUGGACUGGGUGCCAUCACCCUCCCCGCUCCCCCAUCCAGCUCAGGCUGCCCAGGGCUCAUCCAUGGCCUUGUCACCUCCAGGGAUGGGCACCCACAGCUCUGGGCAGCAGUGCUGGGGUCUCACCAUCCUCUGGGGAAAGCAUUUCCUCUUCACGUCUGUUCAGAGGGCAUCUUUUAGUUUAAAGCCAUUCCCUUUUGUCCUAUCACUAUCAGAUUGUGUGAAAAGUUUCUCUCCCUCCUAUUUAUCAGCUCUCUUCAGGCACUGGAAGGCCUCAGUGAGGUCUCCUCACAGCCUUCCCUUCUCCAGGCCGAACACCCCCAGCUCCCUCAGCCUGUCUCCAUAGAGAGGGCUCCAUCCUCUGAGCAUCCCCAUGCCCUCCUCUGGACCCACAGCCCCACAUCCCUCCUGUGCUGGGGGCCCCAGACCUGAAUGCAGUGCUCCACACGAGGGCAGACAGAGGGAAACAAUCCCCUCCCUGCCCACUGCCCCCUCUGUUGGUGCAGCCCUGCUGGCCUUAUGGGCUGCGAGUGCACACUGCUGCCUCAUGUCCUGCUUUUCUCCAUCAGAACCUCCACAUCCUACUCCACAGGGCUGUUCUGAGGGUGUCCUUCUCUCAGUAAAAUGGCUGUUCCCAAUCCUUCCUUGUCCCCUAGCCGUAAGGAGAGGCAUCUACGAUAGGUUUGGUGAGGAAGGUCUCAAAGGUGGCAUCCCUGUGGAGUCUGGAGGUGAAGAUGCUUGGACUGCUGGUUACGUGUUCCACAACAACCCCGACAAAGUCUUCAAGGAGUUCUUUGGAGGACACAACCCCUUUGCAGAGUUCUUCACCAAGGAUGGCUUGGAGGUGACCCUGCCCUUUGGAGGGCUGCGAGGAAGAGGUGUGAUGAAGCAGGACCCCCCGAUGGUGUGGGACCUCCACGUCUCCCUUGAGGAUCUCUUCUUUGGCUGCACCAAGAAGAUGAAGAUCUCCCGUCGGGUGAUGAACGAAGACGGCCAAACCAGCACCAUCAAGGACAAGAUCCUGAUCAUCGACGUGCAGCCAGGCUGGAAGCAAGGCACCAGGGUCACGUUUGAGAAGGAAGGAGACCAGGGCCCCAACGUCAUUCCAGCCGACAUCACCUUUGUUAUCCAAGAGAAACCUCACCCGAGGUUUAAAAGAACCAAGGACGACCUCAUUUACGUGGCCAAUAUCCCCCUGGGAAAGGCACUGAUUGGCUGCACGGUGGAUGUGAGGACGCUGGACGGGCGGCUGCUGAACGUCCCCAUCAAUGACAUCGUGCAGAGCCCAUCUCAACCACCCUUCUCAGCCCUCUCUCGCUUUGCAGCCCCACGUACUGCAAAGUGGUGCCUGGGGAGGGGAUGCCUCUGCUCAAGGACCCGCGGCGUAGGGGUGACCUCCUCAUCCACUUCAAUGUCUGCUUCCCCAAACGCCUCACGCCCGACAAGAAGCUGCUCCUGAGGCGUGCGCUGCUGUCCUAGGAGCUGUCAGCCUCCUGCUGUCCUGGUGAGGCUGCCAGCACUCGUUCCCCAGUUUUGGGCUGCUCCCUUCUGGCAAGACCAGAAUCAUUGAGGAAAACACCACGAGGAUUGUAACCCAACUGCACCUCCGGACCAGGAGAAAAACCCACCCCUGUAAUAAAAAUAAGGUGAUGGAGCCCCGAGUCCUGCUGAGACAAACCCCAUAGGGGUGAUUUAUUUGCAGCAUCAGUGAGGAAUACCUGGAUUCACCACAUCCCCCAUCCCACACAGCUCCUUCCCACCUCUCUGUCCCACUGCUGCCGGAAAGCACCGCUGUUCCCAACUGGAAAACCUCAACACCUUCUUCCUUCCUCUCCCCUCUCCGCUGUGGACCUUCCCUUCCCUUCUUCCAUCCUUCCCUUCUCUCCAUUCUCCUCCUGCUGGUCCCUCACAGAGCCGCCUUUGGUCCCUCUCAUCCCACAGGGUUGGGGACCUUUGCUGCCUCCCUUCAGCAAUUAAUAUAAUUGACUGCUGCAGCUCAUCAACGCUGACGAGUGGGGCUGGGGGCGAUCAGGGGGGUGCAGACCGGGCCAGCAUCACCACACGCUGCAGCUGCUCAUAGGAGAUGAACAUCACCACGUUCCAGGAGCCGAGGCGCAGGAAGGAGGGGACGAACCUGCGGUGAGGACAGCAGUGUCGGAGGGGACGUCAGCCAUCCCCACUUUGUGCCACGGUGGCAAAAUGAGGCUGGGCUGGCGUUCAUGUACCGCGUCUUCACCACAUCCACCGGUGACGCCACCACCGUGGCGCAGAAUCCGGCCCCAAAAGCAGCCACGAAGUGACAGGGGAUGUUGUCUGCGGGGCAGAACGGAGGUGAGGGCUUUUGGGGGGGCUGGGGCGGCACGUGGGGCUGCGCCUUCGGUCCUGUCCUCACCUGCCAUCAGCUGCGCCCGCAGCAGCGCGUCCUUGAUGAGGUCGUAGGUGACGAGCUCACCGCAGUUAAUGAUGGCAUUGCGGGCGAUGUUGGGCAGCGUCCCUGUGGGGAGGGCGCUGGCGUUGGCACGGGGUGCCCCAGUGCCACUGUCCCUGUCCUCAGCUCUGUCCCCAUCCCUUGUCCCCAUUCAGAGCUGAGAGAUGGGGUUCAUAGAAUCAUUUUGAGGGAACUGGGAUUGCUUAGCUUGGAAGAAGCU